CCCAGCCCCGAGGGGGCCUUCAUUCAAGAAGCUGUGUCUGUGGUUCUAACCGGCCCGGGCGAAGCGAGUCUGCAACUUAGCCCCGAUAUUUUAUUAAUAAGCACAUUUGGCACUUGCCUCACACCUUUCAUCGGCAGCUCUCCCAGGCGUCCCCAACCUUAAUUAAUUCUCCCCGCACCCCAAACAAGCUGCUCUUCCCUUGGCAAAUGAUGAUGUGGGAAGUCCUUAAAGGUGCCGUGAUUAAUCCCCCCGCGCAAUUAGGUCCCUCUCUUCCCCCGGCAGCUACUCCCUCCCUCUCCCAGCUGUCGGGGGGCCUUGAGACUUCAGACCCUCCCUGACCUCAGACCCCAUCAACUCGUGCUGGAUUGGCCUCAGCCACCGCCCCCCCCUCCCCAGCUGUCCCAGUCCCCCCUGUGCCCUUCCACAAGGCAGCCAAGGGGAUCCCGCCAAAGCACAACCCCAAUCCCGCCUCCUGCCUGCCCCAAGCCCUCCCCUGGCCCCCCAACACCCGUGGACACCCAGCCUUCUUGCACCCAGUGUCUCAUAGCCAGCCACCGAGGACACACCGAAGGUCUCCGGUUUUCUCCACGUGCUGCCUCUUCUAGAAUGCAAGUGACUUCUGCAGGAGCUGACACGUAAACAGCGCCCUGGAGACGACUGGCCCCGGCAACCCUUCCUAAAGCGACUGCCUGCGCCCCAAAAAUGAGAUCGGGGCUCCUUCGGGGAUUAAUUAAUCAAUACGUUCCACAGGUACUGAUGGAGAUUUUGCAGGUGCCAGGCACUGUCCUGGGUGCCCCGGGACGCAUCCGUGGACCCUGGGCACCUGUGGGCGAGUGGCGAGAAUCUCACCGCGGCAUUGCUUACCUGCCUCGGGGCUGUGGCCCUCCCCCACCUGGCUGCCCCCCCUGGGCCGGGUCCCCCCACCCCGGCUGCCCACCCUGGCCUGUCCCCUUGCCUUCCGGAGCAGGGCAGCCCGUGGACCAGGCACUCUGUCAGCCUGUCCAAAUCUGAGUCACUUCUCUCUCGGGACAGCAGGGUGACCUUGCCUGUGGGUCCCCGGAGCUAAGAAUAGCCCGGGGAGCUGAGAACCCGCCGUCGCCCCUCCCAGCCCUGUGUGCAGCCGGGGCGAAAGGACCCUGUCGCCCGCGGAGGGGACAGCUGCUCCCGGCAUGUUUGGGCGCGCGGCUGAGCCCUGCCAGCUGUUUGGAAGAGGAGAGGAGCCAAAGGAAGGGGGGAGUUUCCGACUCCAAAAGUGCCGAGCCCACGCUUGGCCGCUGUGCCGCCUGGAGUACCGGGAAGGUGCCUGAGCCCUGGCUCUGCCUGUCAUCGGUGAGUGACCUUUGGCAAGCCACCUCCGCCUCCCAGGGUUUAGGACGCAGACCCGCCCAGGGAGAGGAUGGCCGUCAGGAAGCCAAAGAGAGAGACUCAGAAGAAGCCGGCCCUGUAGAUACCUUGACCUUGGACUUCCUGCCUCCAGAGACAACAGAUGACAACGGCUCUUCACCCAGAGGAUCCCAAAUGCUCAAUGGCUCCCGGCAUCCCUGACGGGGGCAAAGCCAGAGUUUGCUGCCCCCGGGCCGGGCGUCUGCCCCUGGGGGCCGUUUGCAAGGAAGCAUCUGGGCACAGAUGUUAUUGUGGGCACAAAUCAUGGGCAGAAACGGCCAAGUGAGCCGCGCGG